rnacentral:tRNA from 1 species
GUUGCCGUGGUGUAGUGAUUAUCACGUGCGCCUCACACGCGCAAGGUCCCUGGUUCGAUCCCGGGCGGGAACA